CUGCUGGGGGAAGCAGCCAAACCCCAAAGCCGAAGUCCAGCUCGCCGGUGCCCCAAGCCCACCCUCCCGCCCCUACUUUCUCCGCGCUGAUGGGCUGCUGCGUCGGCCACGGGCCCACCUGGAAGCGCCGCCGCCCUCGCGACUUUUCCUGAGGGCGAAGCGGAGCGGGAGCAGUUGGCGAAGUGGCCCGAGACUUCAGAGAGAGGCGCUGCCUCGCUUCGCCUCAGGAGAGGAAGCGCGCGCGGCGGCAGCAGCAGCGCCUUCAGGCAGGCGGCACACUUGGGCACAGAGGGGCGCGCGCGGGUCUGAGGUGGACGGAGAAGCAGCCACUCCGAAACGGGCUUCGCCCGCCAGCCUCGCCGACUCUCUUCCCUCAGCCGCCUUGACUUGGCCGGUAGACCCAGCUGGGGCUGCUCCUCAGGCAGGACGGGCGCCCUUUCGCCCCAAGCGCGAGCGGCAAGAGCGGGGUCCGGGCGGCGGGAGCUGCUGCUGCUGCGAGGUCCAGAAGACUUUGUGA
rnacentral:lncRNA from 1 species